rnacentral:lncRNA from 1 species
GAGAGGUUUUCUAUAAUCUUCUUUCACUGGUUUCUAUUGUUAUUUGUGAUUUAGAUGAUGUAGAUGAUGAUACUCUUAAAAAGAUAUCCUUUUCAUUACAGUGGCAUGGGACUCCCUCCUCUCUAUUAGGAGGAAGCCAAAAUUAUGUCACACAUAAUCUGCAGGCUUUAAUUUGGUUAUCUCUUCUAAGACACUUUACAUUUCAGUCUAUGUUUGAUAAUGAACAUCUACUUUUGAGUUUUCUCAUACUUCCCAUUAAACUAGUCAUUUUUUUUUUACUUGUGUGUAUGUGUUUCUUGAUUUGGGAUAUGACUUUUUGUGCUCUAGGAACGUGAGUAUGAAGCAUCUUUUUAUCCCUCCCCUAAAGAUAAGGAAUUCUUGACAGCUUAGUUUGACACUUUUUUGUAAUGUUGAUUUGUCACUUCCUUUGUUACAAUUUAUUCUUUUAUUUUCUUUGCCUUUGUUAUAAUUUUUUUCUUCUUUUUAUCUUUUCAUUCGUCUCUUUCAUUUGUGUUACUUCCUUUGUUAUACUGGGGAGAGAACUAUGAAUGUACUGUGGGGAUUCAAAAGUUGUGGUGAAAAUUGGAAGUACUGCCUUUGGAUUAAACAGUCAUUUUUUU